AACUAAACCCGACCUUAGUGGAUGCCCGCGAAUGCCUGCCGAACAAUAAGCACAGAACAGUUUCGCGGCAGAAACGGGGGCGGGACUGAGC
rnacentral:sRNA from 1 species